AUUGAACGCUGGCGGCAUGCUUUACACAUGCAAGUCGAACGGUAACAGGGUGCUUGCACCGCUGACGAGUGGCGAACGGGUGAGUAAUGCGUCGGAACGUGCCGAGUAGUGGGGGAUAACGCAGCGAAAGUUGUGCUAAUACCGCAUACGUACUGAGGUAGAAAGUGGGGGACCUUCGGGCCUCACGCUAUUCGAGCGGCCGACGUCGGAUUAGCUAGUAGGUGAGGUAAAGGCUCACCUAGGCGACGGUCAGUAGCGGGUCUGAGAGGAUGAUCCGCCACACUGGGACUAAGACACGGCCCAGACUCCUACGGGAGGCAGCAGUGGGGAAUUUUGGACAAUGGGCGAAAGCCUGAUCCAGCCAUGCCGCGUGUCUGAAGAAGGCCUUCGGGUUGUAAAGGACUUUUGUCAGGGAGGAAAUCCCUAGUGCUAAUAACACUGGGGGAUGACAGUACCUGAAGAAUAAGCACCGGCUAACUACGUGCCAGCAGCCGCCGCUGUAA
rnacentral:rRNA from 1 species